UGCCGCGUAGCUCAGUGGUAGAGCAGCUGACUGUUAAUCAGCGGGUCGUAGGUUCGAAUCCUACCGCGGCAGCCA
rnacentral:tRNA from 2 species